AUUUUCGAAGGAUUCAUUAUUUACGCUAAAUCCGCCGAUCCUCCGACGAACUCCCACAUGCUUGGGUAGACGCUAAGUUCGGGGAGCUUAGAGCGCGCGUCUUCGUCUUUCGCUUCUUACUUCUCCAACUCUGGAAUCACGGUCAUACCUCAAGAAUCGGCGACACGAGUUUCGCUGCCCUGAUGUCUCUCGUCUGUGAAAUAAACUGAACUCGCAGGCCCACGAUUUAUAUCGCCACCAACGGCGAUUCCGACGACCUUUAAUGGCUGCUCUGUUACUCCAGCGGAGAGUCUCGGCUUUGGGUGUCACUUCCAUUCUCAAAGAUCAUGUGGAGUCGUUUUGGCUGUGGCUGGAAUCAAAGUGCAGAUAUGAAACGGCUGUAUUAAAAACGAAAAGGCACUAUGGAAGCUGCAGCGGCACGAGAAAGUUUGAAUUCACAGACCUAAAAGAUGGGCGUUGCAGCAUUUCCAACAAGUUGGAUCUCAUGGACCUAACUCGUCCUCAUACAUGGUACCCCAUGGCUCGGAAGAAAAAGCGCAAGGUCAUUCUCCAUGUAGGUCCUACUAACAGUGGCAAAACACAUUCUGCAUUGAAGCAACUGGAGCUGAGUUUGUCAGGUGUAUACUGCGGUCCCUUGAGGUUAUUGGCAUGGGAAGUGGCUACAAGAAUGAAUAAAGCAAAAGUUCCCUGUGAUUUGAUUACGGGACAAGAAAGGGAGGAAGUUGAAGGUGCAAAGCACAAGUCUAUGACAGUUGAGAUGGCUGAUGUUACGUCAGACUACCAUUGUGCCAUUAUUGAUGAAAUCCAGAUGGUGGGAUGUAAGACGAGGGGAUAUUCGUUUACACGAGCGCUACUGGGACUUGCUGCUGAUGAGCUCCAUCUUUGCGGAGAUGCAGCGGUAGUUGCUCUUGUUGAAGAUAUAGUGAAAGUGACAGGCGAUGAUCUUGAGAUUCACUAUUAUGAGAGACUUUCACCUCUGGUCCCACUGAAAGUUCCUCUGCGAUCUUUUUCUGAAAUACGAAAAGGCGAUUGUAUGGUCACCUUUUCCCGUCCUGGAAUUUUCCAAUUGAAGAAGCAAAUUGAAAGAGUGGGAGAACAUCGUUGUGCUGUUGUUUAUGGUUCAUUGCCACCUCAGACUCGAACAAGACAGGCAACCAUGUUCAAUGAUGCAAAUAGCGAAUUUGAUGUUCUUGUUGCUAGUGAUGCCAUUGGAAUGGGUCUCAAUCUGCAAAUUUCCAGGCUCAUAUUUUCAUCGAUGACAAAAUUCGAUGGUAUAGAGUUUCGUGAGCUAACUGUACCAGAGAUCAAGCAAAUUGCAGGGAGGGCCGGCAGGUAUGGAUCCAAAUAUCCUGUUGGUGAAGUGACUUGUGUAGACAAAGAGGAUUUACCUUUGCUUCACGCAGCUCUGAGUGCCGCAUCGCCUACUCUAGAGUGUGCAGGAUUAUUUCCAACCUUCGAUCUUUUACUGAUGUACUCACGUUUAAACCCACAAUAUGGUUUUCGGCAGAUAUUGGAGCAUUUUCUAGAGAAUGCCAAGCUAUCUGAAAACUACUUCAUUGCUAACUGCGAAGAUAUGUUGAAAGUAGCCGCUAUUGUCGAUGAAUUGCCUGUCGCUUUGCGUGAGAAGUACCUUUUUUGUCUCAGUCCAGUUGACGUGAACGAUGACAUUUCAACCCAAGGUCUUAUACAGUUUGCACAGAACUAUUCGAAGAGAGGCAUUGUCCAUCUCCGAGAAAUAUUUACUCCGGGGACGCUUCAGGUGCCAAAAACACAUAGAGCAAUGAAGGAACUUGAAUCAAUUCACAAGGUUCUGGAGCUGUAUGUCUGGUUGAGUUUUCGAAUGGAGGAUUCAUUCCCCGACUCUGAGGUGGCGGCUUCCCAGAAGGCUAUCUGUAGCCAGUUGAUUGAGGAGUUCCUGGAGAGAUAUGGGUUGCAGAUGCCAAGAGGAAAGAAGUUGCCAUUGCGCAAGAGCUCUAGUUCUAUACUCCAGUAAGAAGACAAACUUUAUAUUGGAUUGCCACACUUCGCACCAGCCUUGGGCAUACACACCUGAUGGAUGGUGGAAUGGGAAAAGAUCGGCGUGCCCUGUCAGACGCCUGUAUCCCAUCCCACCAGCCUGGUAGAGUUUCACCAAUGGCGUCUCGGGCGACUGUCAAAUUGGUGUAGGCGAGCGUGCAUUGGAGUCACUGGUGACUUUGUCGGUACUGACAUGCGCAUGAAUGAUCGGUGUUAAGAAAAUACUUCGCCGGACCAACAAAAUAGCUGUUGCCUUGAAGUCAGAAUGACUACCCUCAUUAGACCGAAGUGACAGCCCUUUGUUGAUGGGGGCACGCAACACAUACGGAUAGGAAGAUAAUUAGUUUUUUCAACUACUAUAUUGUCGGUGAAAUGAAGUUUGAGGCUGUAUUAUCUUGUUUUGGCAUGUACAAAGAGAUGCACAAAACUAAAUUCUGAUUAGUGUGAACGUAUCUCCAUACUUAACAUCAGA